CAGCAGCCGCGGUAAUACGGAGGAUCCGAGCGUUAUCCGGAUUUAUUGGGUUUAAAGGGNGGGUGGNUNNNUNUUUAAGUCAGUUGUNNNCNUCUGCGGANNAANNNUAAAAUUGCAGUUGAUACUGGAUAUCUUGAGUGCAGUAGAGGUGGGCGGAAUUCGUGGUGUAGCGGUGAAAUGCUUAGAUAUCACGAAGAACUCCGAUUGCGAAGGCAGCCUGCUAAGCUGCAACUGACAUUGAGGCUCGAAAGUGUGGGUAUCAAACAGGAUUAGAUACCCUGGUAGUCCACACGGUAAACGAUGAAUACUCGCUGUUUGCGAUAUACGGCAAGCGGCCAAGCGAAAGCGUUAAGUAUUCCACCUGGGGAGU
rnacentral:rRNA from 1 species